UAAUUAGCAGCAGAGCCAUGUGCGGCUGUGCUGCGAGCCCCAUUCUAAUUAGAAAGGACUCGCAGAUGGGUCACAUCAACAGCACAAGGAGGUUUCUCUGCCUCCUUUAGCCCUUUCUGCUGCUUCUCCUCCUUGCUGUCCCUGGACCUUGGGCUGAGAAGUAGGUGAGGUUGGAAGGACUCUUCUGGAGAUACUGUUAGCAGAAGGAAGCAAGUUUUCGCACAGAUUGAUGGAAACGCAGCGAUAAUCAGCGAUCUCCAGAGCUGAAGCAUCUUCCAGCUCGUUCUUUUCCUGCCUUCUUUUGGGCACCGCGGUGACCCUCAGAGUAUCAAAGAUGAACAAAUCAUGCCCAGGUGGAAGGCUUUUCACAUGCAAAUUGUCAAUAUCAUUGUGAUGUGGCAUUUUUAUUAAUCCAAACCAGCUUAUCUGACCAAAAAGAAAGAAAGAUCAUUCUGUUUCAUAUCAAACAUUUUGUUCUGACAAUGAACAUAUUACUCUACCACAACAGUCUAUUUUCGACAGUUUACUCUCAUCUUCCUGCAACCCAUCUUACAAAUGAGACAUAAAAUUGAGGCUCCGGAUGCUUAUGGACCCAAUCCUGCAGCAUUUAUGCACCUGUUUAAGUUGAAUCAUGUGAGGAUUUGCAGUGGAUUGAAUGUGGGGAAUGACUAAUACUCGAGGAACUAUGGCAAUUGCUCCAAAGCAGUUUGCAGUUCUUCAGGAUAAAGAGCAAUGCAUAAAGCUAGGAUGCAUUAUCUCCUCCUCUGCCAACUCUGUCUGGAAUGCUCUAAAGGAUGGACUCGGAGCAAAAGCAGAAUAAAAUGUACUCGCCUGCAGCCCGUGCCUGGUACACUCAUUUCUUGCUAUCCCUACCAUAAGGCUCCUGGUUGAGCAGAAGUUGGCCGUCAGCAAUGCAACAAAAUGCACCAAAAUCACCAGGUUUUCACCAUGGAGUUGCACUUGAUGUUACAAAGCCUCGUUAAUUGAUUACAACAUGAUUCAGCAAGCUGCACUCUUCCUGACUCUUCUCCGUAGCUUGCUGCCUCUCCAUUCAAAACCCGGCUGUGCUCCAAGGGUCUCGUCCCUGUGUUUGAAGCCCGAGCAGCUGAAGAAUGACCUUUCUCUCUGACCUACAUCUUUCAUAGGAAUAAAGCAACAGAUGACACCAAGUAGAGGAUUCACAGAGCUCUUUGUGCAAGCCCCUACAGCGGAGCUCCCCAGUGAAGGGCAUCAAGCUUAACUCUCAGCUCACCCUGCAAGGAGGCUUUUUCAUUCCACUUAAUAGCAGCAUUUCCACCGACUUAUGCAGGAGCAGAGUCAAAUCCCAACGUGUCUUUUAACAGCAGCUACUCCUCGGCAGAAGGAGCAUCUCAGCAAAUUGGACAUCCCUGCCUCCUGCGAGGGGUUUCUUCCAGGCAAACCCACUCCCAGAAUGAUCCCCCACUUUCUGCUCAGCCUCCGUCGGGUUUUCUGUUCCUGCAUGUCACCACCGUGAUUGGCAACCGAAGCAGAAAGAUCAGACAAAGGAAGGCUGAGGCACCACCUGGGACGGAGCUGAAAGAGAUGCAGGAGCAGAUAUCUCCAUCUGCCUCCUCGAGGCUUUGUGGGGCUGGGAUACCAGCUGCGGUGUGGUGCUCCCGGAUCCCAGGGGACUGCUGCUCUGCCCCGCUGCAUCUCGGGAAGCCUCGAUGGCAGCACCAGCACCACCAAGGUCACCUUCCUCAUCCUCAGGCAGGUCACACUGCUACGAUACUCCGGAGUGUGGUGAGAUAGAGGAGUCCAGAAAGGAUAAAACAGAAGGAAAAUGAGUGUUUUCUCAGAUGUAUGCAGAAGGUAAAUUAUGGGGCUACUUACAGUACCUAAAAUCACUUUCUCUCCAGGGGCCUGAAUAUGCUCUGUUAGAAAAUCUGCAUACGAGCCUGUAAAUUUGCCAUCUAUGCUACAGUGUAAUUGUACCAGACUCACCGAUGUUGUAUUUUUUACCUAUAAAUGUGAUGGCGAUAUGCUUGUCUCCUCUUCCUACAAGAGUUUCACCAAUUCCCAGGAAAGCAAACCUCCCCCAGUGGGCUCUUUCUCCCAUUUAAUCCAGAUAAAGAGGAAAGUCCUCCAUGGAGGGCGUGCACACAAAACCCACAUUAGACACCCGGGAGUAUAGGGACACGCUCUGCCCCACUGCAAAGCACCUCGGCACCCCUGCGAGGCAUCACAGGACGUGACCAACAGCCCUCCCGCGCCCUAAGCAUGGCACUUCUGUGUUGAUGCAAAAAGCCAUGCACAAAAGGGAAAAUGGCAGCUUUCCAAGUGGCCCCAGUUAAUAGCUCUGUUUUGCUUAAUGGUGCCUCCCAUUCAGACUAAAGAUGCUGUUUUAAAUAUGUAAGCAAUUAGUAUCUCUCUCUCUCUCCCUCUCUCGCAACACAUCUGUGCUUCUUCUAUCUGCUGCAUUACAAAUCUGCUGCGUCCCUCUCCAGCUCGGCGGCGCGUGUAGCGCCAGAUAUCCUGGUCCUCAGCAACUUUCUGGGCUGCAGGAAUUACAGCUGGCUGCGGAGGUGCUCCUGCCUGGCCCUGCCUACGCCCUCAGCACCACCGUCCUCUCCUCCUGAGCUGGUGCUGGGCUGGCAUAUAAUAGGGGUGCAGGGAAAGGGACCUUUUGGUCUGGUUUUGGCUAUUCUUUGGUCCAGCCUCAUGUUUUUUCCUUCUUCCCACCUGCCACUUUCACACACUUUUUGUCUCCCUUUCUGGAGAGGAGCCGCAGCCUUUUCUCUCCGUACCAAACCGCAGGCUGCCCAUGGGAGCGUGGCCGGGAUGCACCCAGAGGUUUCUGCU